AUUGAACGCUGGCGGCAGGCCUAACACAUGCAAGUCGAGCGGAUGAAGGGAGCUUGCUCCUGGAUUCAGCGGCGGACGGGUGAGUAAUGCCUGGGAAUCCGCCUGGUAGUGGGGGAUAACGUCCGGAAACGGGCGCUAAUACCGCAUACGUCCUGAGGGCGAAAGUGGGGGAGCUUCGGACCUCACGCUAUCAGAUGAGCCUAGGUCGGAUUAGCUAGUUGGUGGGGUAAAGGCCUACCAAGGCGACGAUCCGUAACUGGUCUGAGAGGAUGAUCAGUCACACUGGAACUGAGACACGGUCCAGACUCCUACGGGAGGCAGCAGUGGGGAAUAUUGGACAAUGGGCGAAAGCCUGAUCCAGCCAUGCCGCGUGUGUGAAGAAGGUCUUCGGAUUGUAAAGCACUUUAAGUUGGGAGGAAGGGCAGUAAGUUAAUACCUUGCUGUUUUGACGUUACCAACAGAAUAAGCACCGGCUAACUUCGUG
rnacentral:rRNA from 1 species